rnacentral:rRNA from 1 species
CCUACGGGGUGCAGCAGUGAGGAAUAUUGGGCAAUGGAGGAAACUCUGAACCAGCAACGCCGCGUGAAUGAUGAAGGUCUUCGGAUUGGAAAGUUCUUUUCUAAGGGAAGAAAAAAGUGACGGUACCUUAGGAAUAAGCCUCGGCUAACUACGUGCCAGCAGCUGCGGUAAUACGGAGGAGGCGAGCGUUAUCCGGAAUGACUGGGCGUAAAGGGUGCGUAGGUGGUUUGGCAAGUUAGUAGCGUAACUCCAAGGCUCAACCUUGGAACUACUACUAAAACUGGUGGACUUGAGUGCAGGAGGGGCAACCGGAAUUCGUAGUGUAGCGGUGGAAUGCGUAGAUAUUAGGAGGAACACCAGUGGCGAAGGCGGGUUGCUAGACUGUAACUGACACUGAGGCACGAAAGCGUGGGUAGCAAACAGGAUUAGAUACCCCAGUAGUC